rnacentral:rRNA from 1 species
GGUCCAGACUCCUACGGGAGGCAGCAGUGGGGGAUAUUGCACAAUGGGGGGAACCCUGAUGCAGCGACGCCGCGUGGGCGAUGGAGCGCCUCGGCGCGUAAAGCCCUAUCAGCAGGGAAGAAGAUGACGGUACCUGACUAAGAAGCCCCGGCUAAAUACGUGCCAGCAGCCGCGGUAAUACGUAUGGGGCAAGCGUUAUCCGGAUUUACUGGGUGUAAAGGGAGCGCAGGCGGCCUGGCAAGUCAGAUGUGAAAGCCCGGGGCUCAACCCCGGGACUGCAUUUGAAACUGUCAGGCUGGAGUGCAGGAGAGGUAAGUGGAAUUCCUAGUGUAGCGGUGAAAUGCGUAGAUAUUAGGAGGAACACCAGUGGCGAAGGCGGCUUACUGGACUGUAACUGACGUUGAGGCUCGAAAGCGUGGGGAGCAAACAGGAUUAGAUACCCCGGUAC